AUAGUUUGAUUCUGUCUAAAAUAUUGAUUUUAAUGAAUUUAUUAUAUGUUUUGUUUUUAAUUAUUUUUUUUAUAACAGUAAUUAAUAUUAUAAAAAAAAUUAAUUUUUAUUUAGAAAUUUAUUUAAGUUAAAUUAAUUUUGUGCCAGCAUUUGCGGUUAUACAAUUUAUUUAAAUUAAUAUUUUAGGUUAUUUUAAUUAAUUUUUUUAAUUAAGAAAUAAUAUUAUUUUUAUUUAGGUGAAAUUUAUAUUAAUAAUUUUUUUUAAAAAUAUUUUUAUUAAUUCUUAAUUUAAACUAGGAUUAGAUACCCUAUUAUUUUAGAUGUAAUUUUAUGCCUUAUUAUUAAUAGUUAAGUUCUAUAAAAAUUAAAGAAUUUGGCGGUAAUUUUACUUUACAGAGGAACCUGUAUUUUAAUUGAUAAACCACAAUAGUUUAAACCUUAAAUUUUAUUUGUAUAUCGCUAUGAAUUGGAAUUUUUUAUUUGAAAUUUUCUUUUAUUAUUUAGAUUUAUAUUAGGUCAAGGUGCAGUUUUUUAAGGGUUCAUAUGGGUUACUUUAUUUAUAUUUUAUUAGAUAAUUUUUAAAUUUAAUGAUUUGAAAUAGGAUUUGUUAGUAAUUUAAUUAAAUUAAUUUAUUUGAAUUUAGUUCUAAAUUAUGUACAUAUUGCCCGUCACUCUCAAUAAUAUGAGAUAAGUCGUAACAAAGUAGUUAUAUCGGAAGAUGUUACUAGAAUGUU
rnacentral:ncRNA from 1 species